rnacentral:lncRNA from 1 species
AUGUGCUGUCUCAAUACGGCUCCUGUGAUGACGUCACAAAGACUUAACGGGCACAUGCAAAUCACGUGCUUUGGCGGCUGCGUCGGUCACGUCUGCGACGCUGCAGCAGCAACCGCUCUGCUUCACCCGCCGCUUCACUUACCGCGCAUGCGCAGAGCCAGACUUCUAAUCAAUAUCCUGGAAAUCUUGACAAACCGCAGCAGUAGUAGCCGAAAAGAUUUUGCUCUGCAGAUAUAUUUUAUUUUUAGGAUGUUUUGUCAUUUGAAAAUAAAGACCAAAUGUCAUCCUCAUCAUCAUCCCCAUCAUGAUCAUCACUAUCACCAUCCCCAUCAUCACCAUCGUCACCAUCAUCGUCAUCAUCAUCAUCAUCCCCAUCAUGAUCAUCACUAUCACCAUCCCCAUCAUCAUCAUCAUCACCAUCGUCACCAUCAUCAUCCUCAUCAUCAUCAUCCCCAUCAUGAUCAUCACUAUCACCAUCACCAUCAUUAUCACCAUCAUCGUCAUCAUCAUCAUCACCAUCGUCACCAUCAUCGUCAUCAUCAUCAUCAUCACCAUCAUCCCCAUCAUCAUCAUCACUAUCACCAUCACCAUAAUCAUCAUUAUCACCAUUGUCACCAUCAUCGUCAUCAUCAUCAUCAUCAUCACCAUCGUCACCAUCAUCGUCAUCAUCAUCAUCAUCACCAUCAUCCCCAUCAUGAUCAUCACUAUCACCAUCACCAUAAUCAUCAUUAUCACCAUUGUCACCAUCAUCGUCAUCAUCAUCAUCAUCAUCACCAUCAUCGUCAUCAUCAUCAUCACCAUCAUCCCCAUCAUGAUCAUCACUAUCACCAUUACCAUAAUCAUCAUUAUCACCAUUGUCACCAUCAUCGUCAUCAUCAUCAUUCCCAUCAUGACCAUCACUAUCACCAUCAUCAUCAUCCCCAUCAUGAUCAUCACUAUCAUCAUCAUCAUCAUCAUCCCCAUCAUGACCAUCACUAUCACCAUCAUCAUCAUCAUAUAAACAUCUGA